UGAAUUUUGAAAAGUUCGGUGACAUUUGGCAACUCUGUGCGCCCAGAACGGAACUGGGAAAGUGUUCAAGAAUACGUCAUUUUGGUUUCCGGGAAUGAAAGUGAGUUAUCUCGGGAACACUCCCGAAUGCAGAUUUUCAAGAAUACACGUUCACUGGACUGGCACAAAAAAGUAGUCACUCGAUGCCAGUGGUGCCAGCUGCUGGAUUCGUGUAAACGCGCCUUUAGAAUGGAAUUUUUCUGUCAUUUAUUUCUUGCUAUGAGAUUUUUACCCUUAUUAAUCCCAAACAAGUUAUAUACUGUGAAUAAAAACAACACACAUUUGGUUGAUCGUUUCUUUUGAAGCAAAAUAUUGGAGCAGCUAUCGUAUAAUAAAAUUUUGCACUCUAAUACAACACAUUUUCCUGGCCUCUAGUGCAGUACAGUAAAUAUGAAAUGCUCUUUAACGAAUAAUUACCAAUUGUUUAUCGUUUAGUACGAAAACUGUUGAUAAAAGGGAGGUUUGUUGGUAACAUUACUUGCUAUGGACGAGGAUGAUGGCACACUACUUGUUAAGAUCGAACCCGAAGAAGAAAACGAAAUACAUUCUUCUCUUGAUGGAACCGUUUUGGUUAGCAACGAUACUUCGGUUACAAUAAGUGAGGGAAUUUCCAUCAGCGCGCAGUAUUCCGAAUUGCCUUCCAGUGAAAACGAACAGCAACAAUCUGAUUCUCCAACUUUGGACCAUUUUAAAUGUGACUUUUGCCGUUUUGCAACGGAUAGUGAGUUGCAGCUCAAACAACACCAUCUAAGCCACAAGGUUCAUAAAGGCUUCAAAUGUUUUAAUUGUGAUUUCAAGACAAUGAGUAAACAUAACUUUGGACGGCACUGUUUAAGACACAAAGUUAAUUUUAAAUGUGGGAAGUGUAAUUAUGGAACCAAUAAAAGAUUCCACUUCCAAACGCAUCUUUUGACACACGUUUCAAAAGACGGCGGAGAUAACUGUCGCCAGAAUUUGAGACAUAAUAAGGUGUCUACUAAAUUUAUAUGUGCCAAUUAUGGAACCAAUAGUAAAUACCACCACGAAAGACACCUUUUGACACACAAAGGUUCCAAUGUGUUUAACUGUUCCAAAUGUAAUUAUGAAAGCAAUUUUAAGGGCAAUUUGAAAAAACACCUUUUGACACAUGCUGCAAAAGAUUUUAAAUGUGUUAAUUGCGAUUAUGUGACAAAUAAUGAAAACUAUUUGAAACACCACGCUCGAAAACACAAACCUUCCAAAGAUCUUAAAUGUGCUGUUUGUGAUUUUGAGACACACGCAAAACGUUAUCUCACACGACAUAUGAAAGUGAAACAUUUUAUAUGUGCUAAUUGUGAUUAUGUAACGAAUAGUAAAACUCAUUUGAAUGCACAUGUUUUGACACACCAUGUCUAAAGAUUUUAAUCGAUUUCAAAUCACAUUUUAACCUUAAGAAUUUUAAAUGUGUGCUCAUUUUGAUUUCAAGACAAACAUAAAAAUAAAUAUAUAUAAUAUAAAUAUAUAUAUUCAAUUGAAAAACGACACGUAUCCGACGUCCCUUCGUAAUGCCUACCUAAAAUAUUAAUAACUGGCAUAAAGGCAUGAAUCAAAUGGACAGCUUCAAAGAUCAGUGGUGCAAUGGCGAAGUCCUUUGCAGCGUAAAGUGGGGCAGGAUGCUGGAUUUGUAAAUACUUUACGUGUUCUGUAGGCAUAUGAAAAUUUAGGUAAGUUGUAUUAUUUGUAAUAGUGCAGACAUAAUGUUUUAAAAAAAUAAUAAUAAUAAAAUAUACGUUUUGACACGCAAAGCUA